rnacentral:misc_RNA from 1 species
UCUCUCUCUCUCUCUCUCUCAUCCUCUCCCCUCUUGUUGGUGUGGAUUGAAGAAGCAGGUAAAUUUUAGCAUUCAAGUUGGGGAGAAUUGGCCAUGGCCGGAGAACAAUUGGGAGUGCUUAAUGCACUCGAUGUUGCGAAGACUCAAUGGUACCAUUUCACAGCAAUUGUGAUUGCUGGAAUGGGUUUUUUCACAGAUGCAUACGAUCUUUUUUGCAUCUCCAUAGUCACCAAAUUGCUUGGUCGCAUAUACUACACUGACAUUCAUAAAGAGAAGCCAGGCACAUUACCUCCAAAUGUGGCAGCCGCUGUUAAUGGUGUUGCACUUUGUGGCACUUUAGCUGGCCAGCUCUUCUUUGGCUGGCUUGGUGACAAAUUGGGCAGGAAGAAAGUCUAUGGGAUAACUCUAAUUCUCAUGGUUGUUUGCUCCAUCGCCUCAGGGCUUUCCUUUGGACGGACUGCUGAGGGUACCAUUGCCACUCUUUGUUUCUUCAGGUUCUGGCUUGGAUUUGGUAUCGGUGGUGAUUAUCCCUUAUCUGCCACAAUUAUGUCUGAAUAUGCUAACAAGAAGACUCGUGGGGCAUUUAUCGCUGCAGUGUUUGCCAUGCAAGGAUUUGGGAUUCUGGCUGGGGGGAUUGUAGGUCUUAUUGUUUCAAGUGCCUUCGAUCACAGAUUCAAGGCCCCGCCAUACUCAGUUAAUCGAAGUGGCUCACUUGUUCCUCAAGCUGACUAUAUUUGGCGCAUGAUCUUGAUGUUCGGUGCCUUACCUGCUGCCCUCACUUACUACUGGCGCAUGAAGAUGCCUGAA